rnacentral:misc_RNA from 1 species
AACUGAUACUACCUGCGGGAACCUGCGGAAGGAUCAUUAUAGAGUUUUCAACUCCCAACCCCUGUGAACAUACUUUGUUGCCUCGGCAGGCUGUGGAUAACACACCUGCCAGUGGACCAACCAACUCUGUUUAUUUAUGACCUUCUGAAUUGUUAACUAAAUACGUUAAAACUUUUAACAAUGGAUCUCU